GCCUUCAUGGUGUAGUGGUCAGCACGCUCGACGUGUAUUCGAGAGGUCCGUGGUUCGAGUCCCGGCAAGGGCA
rnacentral:tRNA from 1 species